rnacentral:tRNA from 1 species
GACCUCAUAGUUCAGCUGGUAGAGCAUGCACUUACAAGGCGUAGGCGGCGUUCAUGCGUGGGUUCGAAUCUCACCGAGGCUA